GAUCUUUCCCUGAUCGUAGAAGAUAAGACUGACGCAAGAUCUGGCUGAGAUUGUCUUGCUCGCAUGCUUUGGCCAGGAAGGAGCUUUCACAACUCAACCUGUGUGGCCACCCGACAAGCGAGUCCAAAGUUUUGCAGGAACUCUGCACAGCUAGUCCUCGGUUUUCCACGGGCUCGAGGAAAUGAGAAGGAAGGGAAGAGAGAGUACAGGUUUGAGGUGUUGGUGGACGUGCAGUGGACGGGAUCUCAGUCAGGCCCAACCCCCGCUCCUCCAAACAUGGUUACUUCUGGUUCCAAUGGGUGACUUCACGGUAAGCUUCCACUUGGUACCAACGUUUAGUCGACUAAUCACACAUUCCUAGUUACAGCCCCUAACUCACUAAUGAAUGGUUAGAUUUUUGGUUUAAUUCAUUGAACCUGUUUAGUUCUCCAGAGUGAAAUCCAGUUAAUCGUGGUGACAACGCAUAUAGUGACGCGUCAUGAUCUCUGAGCCAUGAUUGGGUCACUUCCAAGUCUGAGUAGUAAUGCUUGUGGUCUGAGUCGG
rnacentral:lncRNA from 1 species